rnacentral:rRNA from 1 species
AGAGUUUGAUCCUGGCUCAGGAUGAACGCUGGCGGCGUGCUUAACACAUGCAAGUCGAACGGAGCGCCGGACACGGACUAUUUCGGUAGGAAGCGUGCGGAGGCUUAGUGGCGGACGGGUGAGUAACGCGUGGAUAACCUGCCGCAUACCGGGGGAUAACAGCUGGAAACAGCUGCUAAUACCGCAUAUGCCCGCAGUGCCGCAUGGCACAGCGGGGAAAACUCCGGUGGUAUGCGAUGGGUCCGCGUCUGAUUAGGCAGUUGGCGGGGUAACGGCCCACCAAACCGACGAUCAGUAGCCGGCCUGAGAGGGCGGACGGCCACACUGGGACUGAGACACGGCCCAGACUCCUGCGGGAGGCAGCAGUGGGGAAUAUUGCACAAUGGGGGAAACCCUGAUGCAGCGACGCCGCGUGAAGGAAGAAGUAUCUCGGUAUGUAAACUUCUAUCAGCAGGGAAGAAAACAGACGGUACCUGACUAAGAAGCCCCGGCUAACUACGUGCCAGCAGCCGCGGUAAUACGUAGGGGGCAAGCGUUAUCCGGAUUUACUGGGUGUAAAGGGGGCGCAGACGGCCAUGGCAAGCCCGGUGUGAAAGGCAGGGGCAUAACCCCUGGACUGCACUGGGAACUGUCAGGCUGGAGUGCCGGAGGGGUAAGCGGAAUUCCUGGUGUAGCGGUGAAAUGCGUAGAUAUCAGGAGGAACACCGGCGGCGAAGGCGGCUUACUGGACGGCAACUGACGUUGAGGCCCGAAAGCGUGGGGAGCGAACAGGAUUAGAUACCCUGGUAGUCCACGCCGUAAACGAUGUAUACCAGGUGUCGGAUAUCAAGGAUAUCCGGUGCCGAAGCAAACGCA